rnacentral:lncRNA from 1 species
UCCUCUCAUUCCUGAAUUGAGAAUCCAGAAGUAAACACAUUAGGGUUUCUCAAACUUGAUAUUACACUUCAAAUCUCGGGACACCAACAAUGAAAAAAAUAAUAACAACCAAAUCAAAUCAAAUGCCCUGGUCCGAAAUUUAGGGUUUGUCAAACUUCCCUACUCGGAUAGGGUUUCUCAAAACUUGGUAAUGCUACAGGUAAAGAAAUUAAAAAUCACUUCAAAUUUUCAAACACCAAAACAUAUUCUAGUUUAAAAUCCGAAUUCUAAACAUGAUUAGGGUUCCUAAACUUGGGAAAACCCAAAGAACUCCAGAAACACAUCAAACCCUCAAACCCCAUAUUUCCCAAAAUACACAUUUUGAUCUAAAAUCCCAUUUUUCAAGCCAAAAUUAGGGCUUCCUCCUCCCGCAAGUGAAGGAAACUAAAGCAGAAACACAAAACAAACAACGGAAAUAGUUUACAGUUUUUGAGUCAGUGAUUGUACCUUCAAAUCAAAACGGCGAAUCUCAUAAGCUGAUUAGGGUUUUCUUCUGAUGAAAAUCGCUAAUGAAGACUGCUAGUAACCGACUUUGAGCUUCAAACACAACGAACAAAUAGCGAAAUGAAGAUUAAAGCGACCGAAAAAGAGAGACUGGAGCGAAAUCCAUAAAAAAAUAGGAACAAUUCAGAGAUAAAAGCAAAGAACAAAAGUAUACGGAGAAUAAGAAAAUCUUUUGGGAGUUGAAGAGAGAAGAUUGGGGCGAAAAUGCGAUGAGAGUGAAGAG